rnacentral:misc_RNA from 1 species
GAUGAAGAACGUAGUGAAAUGCGAUACGUAAUGUGAAUUGCAGAAUUCAGUGAAUCAUUGAGUCUUUGAACGCACAUUGCGCCCCCUGGUAUUCCGGGGGGCAUGCCUGUCCGAGCGUCAUUGCUGCCCUCAAGCACGGCUUGUGUGUUGGGCCUCCGUCCUCCUCCCGGGGGACGGGCCCGAAAGGCAGCGGCGGCACCGCGUCCGGUCCUCGAGCGUAUGGGGCUUCGUCACCCGCUCUUGUAGGCCCGGCCGGCGCUUGCCGACACAUCAAUCUUUUUUCCAGGUUGACCUCGGAUCAGGUAGGGAUACCCGCUGAACUUAAGCAUAUCAAUAAGCGGAGGA